AUGUCACACGAGAUAUGUACUGCUAUCUUUCGGAGGCUUGCCCAACUGGAUCAGUCUUGCUCUAAGGACACGCCUGGCAACAUUUGGAGGAAGUACAUAGAGCCUGACUUUGCUACAACUGUUUUGUCCAACGCCGAUCCAUUGACCGUUCAAUCUAUCCGCACUGGGUUUCAGGAAGGAACAGGUGUUUGCAACCCAGCUUCAUGCCGAAUGUGGUUCAUCCCAGCAAUUCUUCCAGACGGAUGGGCUGUAUAUCUUUUUGAUAUGACGCGGAAACGAAUCAUUGUGUUAGACCCAGCAGUUGGCCCAUUUGGGUAUAGCAAUCAGCGGGUCAGCAUGCACGAGUUUGUAAGCAACAAACUGCAUGCUGCCCUGUUCAACUGUCUACAUAGUUUCUUCAGUUCUUGGCAUUGUGAUUCCACUAACUAG
rnacentral:rRNA from 1 species